UGAUUAACCAACAUCCCAUAGUAAUGUCAAUGGCACUCUACUCUACAGCAAGUAAAACAGAAGAGACUAGCUAUUGCAAUCAGUUUAAGCUAUAAAUGUACAUAUUUGACUUCAGUUACCUUUAUACCCAAAAAAUAGUCGAAUAAGUUGAUGUUACUAAUCACCACUGAGAAAUCCUCUGGUUUCUUGCUAUACAUUUCAACUUCAUUCCCAUAUAAUCUAAGAAAAUGAUCCCCAGUAGCUACAAGCAAAAAGACCUGGCACACUGGAAUGUCACGCAUUGAUCUUUUCAUGCAGUUUAUCAUAUCUUACUGAGCUGCUAGAAAAUAAUCCCGGAUAU
rnacentral:misc_RNA from 1 species